GCUGUGAUAGCUCAGUUGGGAGAGCAGUAGACUGAAGUACAUAGAUAAUUUCUAAAGGUCACCUGUUCAAUCCAGGUUCAUGGCA